rnacentral:lncRNA from 1 species
UAAAAACAUCUUGAAUUAACUUGUGACUACCAUCUUUACAGGUGAUCAGAAUCGUACCUAUCCCUUCUAUUUGAACCUUUGAGAUAUCUCCAAAGGACACAUUACCUCUCACUGUUUUAUUGAUCUCCACAAAUUUUUCUUUGCAUCCACACAUAUAAUUGCUUGCUCCAUUGUCCAAAUACCUCGAGAUGCAAUAAUCUCUGCCUUCUUCCCUGAGUGUCUUCAACAACGUUGACUCAUUUUCUUCUUACUUGUCGUCAACAAGGUUAGCCUUUUCUUCAACAUUUCUACGACAUUCCCAAGAGUAAUGGCCAAAUUUAUGACAAUUAUAACAUAUAAAUUUUUAUUUAUCAUACCUUUAUCCAUUAUUUUCUUGGUAGUAUCCACGUCCUCUUCCUCUUCUGUAUCCACGAACACGACCUCUGAUAUUUGGUGGAUUUUUACCUCAUUGUUGAAGUUGUUACCAUUACUUAUUCCUCUUUCAUGACCUCCUCGUCCUCGGUCUUGGCGUCGUCCUCGUCCGUUUACUCGAUAGCUUGUUUCACCUCCAUAAUCCUUCAAGGAUGCCUGGGUUUUAAAAAGUUGCUCCAGUGGCACUUCUUG